CCUACGGGCGGCAGCAGUGGGGAAUAUUGGGCAAUGGGCGCAAGCCUGACCCAGCAACGCCGCGUGAAGGAAGAAGGCUUUCGGGUUGUAAACUUCUUUUCUCAGGGACGAAGCAAGUGACGGUACCUGAGGAAUAAGCCACGGCUAACUACGUGCCAGCAGCCGCGGUAAUACGUAGGUGGCAAGCGUUAUCCGGAUUUAUUGGGUUUAAAGGGUGCGCAGGCGGCGUGUCAAGUCAGCGGUAAAAUGUCGGGGCUCAACCCCGGCCGGCCGUUGAAACUGGCGUGCUCGAGUUGGAGAGAAGUAUGCGGAAUUCGUGGUGUAGCGGUGAAAUGCAUAGAUAUCACGAAGAACACCGAUUGCGAAGGCAUCUCACGAAUCCGCGAUUGACGCUGAUGCACGAAAGCGUGGGUAUCAAACAGGAUUAGAUACCCCAGUAGUC
rnacentral:rRNA from 1 species